UAUGAAAGAUUGAUUAAUGCUUGCAAAGCCAAAUUUUUCAGAACCCUAACCUUCUCUUCUCACAACAAAAAAGAAUCCAUUUCAAAAUACCAAUUAUUUGUUUAAUCAAUAUCAAUAUCAAGUUUAACAAUUUACCAAAACCAUAGCCAAAACCACUCACAAGAUGCUCGAAACGAUUAAAUACUUGAUCGGUUGGCCCGGUCUAAGAGGAUUUGGAUCCAAAUCCACCGCCGAACAAGUUACCGAAACCCACGGCGAACUUUGUUCAAUAACCGCCAUCAGAUGAAGGGCUGUGAUGAUUUGGAAACUUGAUUGGGGAUUUGAGUUUAGGAAACUGAAUUUGGUUUUGGUUGAUUGUGUCAGGGAACUUUGCUUCUUGCUUCCAUUGUUGUUGGUCUGCUUAGUUAUACUCACUCAACUCACUAAUAAUUAUAUUUAAAGGUAUGAAGUUUUUGUCAUCUUUAAAUUGAAAGAGCAUUGGGUGGUUGGUUCAAUAUAUUAUCAAGUGCAUGUUACUUUAAAACAAGUAUUCUUGAUACUAAUAUAUUAGCUUUACAAUGGUGUCACUUUUAUUAUGUUUCUAAUAUCUUAAUUUUGGUGAAAUCUUAUAGAUCAUUUGAUUUCUUUCUUCCCGUCUCUCUUCAACUACCAGUAAAGGAGCUUCGAAAUUCUUUAAUGUCUCCAAUAAAUGUGUUUCAGAUCAAUGUACGAAUACAUGUUUUUAAAAUACUCAAAACACACUAUUAUACUGUAUUUAUAUAUUUUAGAUUGACCUCCUUAUUUUGUGAACAAAUAAGGUUGAAUUUUAUAGUUAUAUCAUGUAAAGAAAAAAAGACAUUAUCAAGUUUAAU